rnacentral:rRNA from 1 species
CAAUAGCGUAUAUUAAAGUUGUUGCGGUUAAAAAGCUCGUAGUUGGAGUUCUGCCAGGUGACGCUCGUCCGCCCAAGUGGUGUGUACAGGGCGUGCAUCUGGCCCUUUCAAGGGGAACGUGUCUGCACUUUACUGUGUGGUGCGAGAUCCUUGACUUUUACUUUGAGGAAAUCAGAGUGUUCCAAGCAGGCUCUCGUCGUGUAUAGCUCAGCAUGGAAUAAUAGCAUUGGACUUCGUUUCUAAGCUGUUGGUUGCAAGAAGCGAGGUAAUGAUGAAGAGGGAUAGUUGGGGGCAUUCGUAUUUAACCGUCAGAGGUGAAAUUCUUGGAUUUGUUAAAGACGGACUACUGCGAAAGCAUCUGCCAUGGAUGUUUUCAUUG